rnacentral:tRNA from 1 species
GAUCUCGUAGCUCAGUUGGUAGAGCAUUGGACUGGUAUCCCAAAGGUCGCGGGUUCGAUUCUCACCGUGAUCA